UUAUAUGCAAAGAAGAGGAAAGUAGAUGAUUAUGAAAGUUUUAGAGAGCUACCCCAUGGCUGGAAGGGUGGUAACGAUCAGAUCAUUGAAGAUCACCUCGGAGCAUCGCUUGCGAAAGGGAAACUGAGUAGAGAGUGACGGUAUCGUCUCCGAUAAAUGGACGAGGGUCUGAUAGGACCUAUAGAGCUUAUAUUUCGUGAGAAAUAUAAGGAAGCUGAGUGGUAACGCGGAACUCUCGCCUCAGCA
rfam:Bacillus cereus Rock3-44 chromosome, whole genome shotgun sequence.